rnacentral:rRNA from 1 species
UACGUAGGGGGCAAGCGUUGUCCGGAAUCAUUGGGCGUAAAGCGCGUGUAGGCGGUCCGGUAAGUCCGCUGUGAAAGUCGGGGGCUCAACCCUGGGAUGCCGGUGGAUACUGUCGGGCUCGAGUCCGGAAGAGGCGAGUGGAAUUCCUGGUGUAGCGGUGAAAUGCGCAGAUAUCAGGAGGAACACCAAUGGCGAAGGCAGCUCGCUGGGACGUGACUGACGCUGAGACGCGAAAGCGUGGGGAGCAAACAGG